UGGAUUGGUGCCUUCGGGAACUCUGACACAGGUGCUGCAUGGCUCGUCGUCAGCUCGUGUCGUGAGAUGUUGGGUUAAGUCCCGUAACGAGCGCAACCUUGUCCUUAGUUACCAGCACGUUAUGGUGGGCACUCUAAGGAGACUGCCGGUGACAAACCGGAGGAAGGUGGGGAUGACGUCAAGUCAUCAUGGCCCUUACGGCCUGGGCUACACACGUGCUACAAUGGUCGGUACAAAGGGUUGCCAAGCCGCGAGGUGGAGCUAAUCCCAUAAAACCGAUCGUAGUCCGGAUCGCAGUCUGCAACUCGACUGCGUGAAGUCGGAAUCGCUAGUAAUCGUGAAUCAGAAUGUCACGGUGAAUACGUUCCCGGGCCUU
rnacentral:rRNA from 1 species